rnacentral:rRNA from 1 species
AGAUUAAGUUAUUAAGGGCGCACGGUGGAUGCCUUGGCACUAGAAGCCGAUGAAGGACGUUACUAACGACGAUAUGCUUUGGGGAGCUGUAAGUAAGCUGUGAUCCAGAGAUUUCCGAAUGGGGGAACCCAAUACGAGUUAUGUCGUAUUAUCGAUACGUAAAUACAUAGCGUAUCGAAGGUAGACGCGGAGAACUGAAACAUCUUAGUACCUGCAGGAAGAGAAAGAAAAAUCGAUUCCCUGAGUAGCGGCGAGCGAAACGGGAAGAGCCCAAACCAACGAGCUUGCUUGUUGGGGUUGUAGGACACUCUAUACGG